UGCUAGCAUGUCAACCAGGACAUUU
rnacentral:piRNA from 1 species